rnacentral:rRNA from 1 species
GACGAACGCUGGCGGCGUGCUUAACACAUGCAAGUCGAACGAAGUGGCGAACGGGUGAGUAACGCGUAAUCAACCUGCCCUUCAGAGGGGGACAACAGUUGGAAACGACUGCUAAUACCGCAUACUGAAGGAGGGGAUGGCGUCUGCUUAGCUAGGUGGAGGGGUGACGGCCCACCAAGGAGAUGAUCAGUAGGCGGGCUGAGGGGAUGUACGGCCACAUUGGGACUGAGACACGGCCCAGACUGCUACGGGAGGCAGCAAUGGGGAAUCUUCCGAAAUGGAGGGAAGUCUGACGGAGCAACGCCGCGUGAGGGGUGACGGCCUUCGGGUUGUAAAGCUCUGUUAAGCGGGACGCGGUACCGGAAUAGAAAGCAACGGCUAACUACGUGCCAGCCGCCGCGGUAAUAC